rnacentral:rRNA from 1 species
CCAAUUAUUUUAAAUAUUUUAACAUAUUGAAAGAAUAUUAUUAAUAUU